GGGGAGCUAAGGUGCAUCAAAUUUGUGAUAUGCUUUUCCUUACCAUAACCACCAUAGAUUUAACCAAGGGUCUUGUUUGGAACUAAUCUAAACUUUGUUCCCUUUCUCACAAGGGAAGAGGCUCCAAUGAGAGCCAGCGAACAGAUAUUUGUGGGAAGAUCACAACCUAAUUUUAUGGCUGCUUUGCUUGCAGUACCUGGGUCUUAUUAGAUAGAAUUCCGAGGGUUAAUGAGGCACAUUCUUUAACGUUAUCUUUUGUUGUAAAAAAAGAAUCUAUGUAAUGUUAUAACUUAUUUCAUCUGCUUGCAGUGCCAAAAUUGCUAGGAUGAAGAGUUAGUGUUGGAGUUACGAGUCCGAGUAGUUUGUUUAUCAAAUGUUGGUAUCUAGCCUAUAUAUGAUGGAGGGAAUAUGGUGUUAAAUCUAGAUUGCUAAUGAUACCAAUUCUCAUAAGGGUUAUAAGGACUUGGUGGAUGGGGAUUACUAGCUUGGCUGAUGUGCUCGGUGGCAAGAUUGGUGGAUUUGAUUGGAUUUUCAAGGAUAUUCUCAUCAAGGUGAGCUAUGUCGUCUAUGUUUUCAGCACACCCAAUUGUUAGGAAGAAAGAGGAAAGAGAUAUAGGAUGGUGAUUCACACGGUGGUGAGGUGUAGAGAGUUGCUUUAAAAGAGAAUUGUAUAAAACAUAAGAGUGUGAUGUUGAAGAAGAAGAUCCUCCAGAGACCAUUUAUAGGUGAUGUUAACCACACAGGUCAUUAGGCCUUUACAUAUGUCCGACGCUAGUUUUAUCAUGGUUGGCCGUUUAGGGAGUGUGGUAGCCUUCUAAAUAGGUGAUGAUGGAAUUGACAUGAACUAGGCUAGACUCUAGGUGUGAUCCAUGGAUAGAAAGAUCCAACACUUAUUGUUGACGAGGUAGACCAGAGACACUUAAUGUGUCGUGCAUAUAUAUGUCUUUGAGGUUUAUAGCUGACGAGGUGUAGCCUUCAGGUGAAGUCAUAGCAGUCGAAGUAAUAAUGGUGAAAUCGCAUUGUUUAGGUAUUAAUAACAAUUUAGCUCAAGUGGUAGCCUAGUCGACUGGAAUGUGAGCAAGUGUCGAGGCUUCGCACCCGAGCAAUGUGCAGGAGGGUUGAUCAUCGUCAGGCAUCGAGCUCAACCAACCCACAAGUGCCUAGUAAGAGGGGCUAAGGCAUCACACCCUAGCUAGACAAUACUGAGUUGAACAUUAUUGAGAUCUCAUGUACUAGUAAUCUAGGUGCGGGCAUAGUAUCGGGGGCUUCGUGCCUUACAGUGUGCGGGAGCCAUGUAAAUUACCACACGGGCAAGUGGUGCAUUAAAUAGCCAGCAUUGUGGAGGUGCGACGAAGCAGCUAAAAUGAGUGACAGUGACACUGGCGCGCAGGGGUUCUCUGAGAAGUUCAUAAGCAACAGGUUUUAUUUGCUCCUCGUAUUGGUGUUAAUUCUCGGGGUACGUGUUCUUUUGGGAAUAGGGUAUUUGGCUUUUUCCUAGAACACUCAAAAAAUAUUUUAGAAAAAAUAUUGUAAUUUUCUUUCUUUUCUUUUC
rnacentral:lncRNA from 1 species